rnacentral:rRNA from 1 species
UCGAGAAUCAUUCACAAUGGGGGAAACCCUGAUGGUGCGACGCCGCGUGGGGGAAUGAAGGUCUUCGGAUUGUAAACCCCUGUCAUGUGGGAGCAAAUUAAAAAGAUAGUACCACAAGAGGAAGAGACGGCUAACUCUGUGCCAGCAGCCGCGGUAAUACAGAGGUCUCAAGCGUUGUUCGGAAUCACUGGGCGUAAAGCGUGCGUAGGCUGUUUCGUAAGUCGUGUGUGAAAGGCGCGGGCUCAACCCGCGGACGGCACAUGAUACUGCGAGACUAGAGUAAUGGAGGGGGAACCGGAAUUCUCGGUGUAGCNAGUGAAAUGCGUAGAUAUCGAGAGGAACNCUCGUGGCGAAGGCGGGUUCCUGGAC